CGCCGUAACGAGCGCAACCCUUUGUCCUUAGUUACCAGCACGUUAAGGUGGGCACUCUAAGGAGACUGCCGGUGACAAAACCCGGAGGAAGGUGGGGAUGACGUCAAGUCAUCAUGGCCCUUACGGCCUGGGCUACACACGUGCUACAAUGGUCGGUACAAAGGGUUGCCAAGCCGCGAGGUGGAGCUAAUCCCAUAAAACCGAUCGUAGUCCGGAUCGCAGUCUGCAACUCGACUGCGUGAAGUCGGAAUCGCUAGUAAUCGUGAAUCAGAAUGUCACGGUGAAUACGUUCCCGGGCCUU
rnacentral:rRNA from 1 species